rnacentral:lncRNA from 1 species
GAAGCCAUACUCUAGGUCAAUUGUUGGUGCUAUCCUGGAAGUCAUUCAGAAGCAAAACGGCCGAGAAAGCCGAAGUUACGACGAUGGCAGGCUAGGGAAGCUGCUCUGCGUGAAAUCAAAAAGAAGAGGAUUAAGAAAACAAAAGAUGAGAAGAAAGCCAAGAAAACAGAAAUGCCAAAUAGACAUAACAUCCAGCUUACACCUCUAACAGGAAUUCCAUCCAAGCCAUAUUCAAUAGAAACAAACUAACAGUUGUGCAUCCAUUUCUCUAAAACUGUCAUAACCAUAUAACAAACUGCCAACUGUCAUUGACCCUUCAUAACUUCCAACUCAUUCAUAACUCCCAACUAUCAACAACCUUCUAACAAAAACCUGCAUAAAAGAAAGCAAAAGCAUAACAGUGGAAAGGAGGCAAAAUAGAAGCAUAGCAUAAUAGAGAAUUGGAAACACUCACUGAAACCAGGACUAACUUCGUGUGAGAACCGACUCGGUAACUAACCUGCCAAGUGCCAUAACCGCCUCAUAACAGAAUGCUAACUGUUAAAAGAAAAAACCCUUUAAUAUAACCCUCAACAUAACUGACUCUAACCAAUUCCCUAAACUCUAACCAAUUCCCUAAAUUGCCUCAAUUGAACGAUUCUAGGAAAUUCCCAGCCUCCCUGCUAACCGAAAACUCCCAACAGAAAUUCCAACAAACUUCCUUUCCAAAAACCUGAACCAUGACUCAUCUCAGACUUUCCACCUCAUGGAAACUGCAUCAGUUCUGAGGACUCUCCCUAACCUUCUUCAAAAAACCAUUCUUUCCUCCAACUAACCUAACCGAAAUCUAACAACCUCUAACGGUUUUUCCUAACAACUUCUAACGAACCAAUUCACUAAACAGAAACAGAAAGAGAAGUAGAUGAGAGAAUUUCUAGGAUAAAUGAGGGAGUAAAUGAAACUCACAAAUUUUUGGG